rnacentral:rRNA from 1 species
UACGGAGGGUGCAAGCGUUAUCCGGAUUCACUGGGUUUAAAGGGUGCGUAGGUGGGUUGGUAAGUCAGUGGUGAAAUCUCCAGGCUUAACUUGGAAACUGCCAUUGAUACUAUCAAUCUUGAAUACCGUGGAGGUCAGCGGAAUAUGUCAUGUAGCGGUGAAAUGCUUAGAUAUGACAUAGAACACCAAUUGCGAAGGCAGCUGGCUAAACGAAUAUUGACACUGAUGCACGAAAGCGUGGGGAUCAAACAGG